rnacentral:rRNA from 1 species
GUCGAACGGUAACGACACUAGCUUGCUAGUGGGCGACGAGUGGCGGACGGGUGAGUAACGCGUAGGAAUCUACCUAUCAGUGGGGGAUAGCCAAGGGAAACUUUGGGUAAUACCGUAUACGAUCUAAGGAUGAAAGGGGGCCUCUCUUUGAAGCUCUCGCUGAUAGAUGAGCCUGCGUAAGAUUAGCUUGUUGGUGAGGUAAUGGCUCACCAAGGCGACGAUCUUUAGCUGGUCUGAGAGGAUGAUCAGUCACACUGGAACUGAGACACGGUCCAGACUCCUACGGGAGGCAGCAGUCGGGAAUAUUGGACAAUGGGGGAAACCCUGAUCCAGCCAUGCCGCGUGUGUGAAGAAGGCCCUAGGGUUGUAAAGCACUUUUAGUAGUGAGGAAGGCUCAGUAGUUAAUACCUACUGGGAUUGACGUUAGCUACAGAAAAAGCACCGGCUAAUUUCGUGCCAGCAGCCGCGGUAAUACGAAAGGUGCAAGCGUUAAUCGGAAUUACUGGGCGUAAAGCGCGCGUAGGCGGCUUGGUAAGUUGGAUGUGAAAGCCCCGGGCUCAACCUGGGAACUGCAUCCAAAACUGCCAAGCUAGAGUAUGGUAGAGGAUGGCGGAAUUUCCUGUGUAGCGGUGAAAUGCGUAGAUAUAGGAAGGAACAUCAGUGGCGAAGGCGGCCAUCUGGACCAAUACUGACACUGA